UCUCCCACAUGCUGACAGCCCAUGACCGCAGACACGAUUUUAGGAAAGGCCCCAUAACCUGGGAACGAACUCCUCCUCCCCUCCUCACCCCCCCCCUUCUCCCCUGCUCCCCCCUGCCUUUCCCUCCCCUCCCUCUCCUUCCUUCCUUCUCUCCUCCCCUCCCGUUCUACAGGUGCGUGGCCCCGUCCCCCAUGCCCGGGCGUGGGGGCUCUUCCCUGGGCGUAUGGGCAGGUCCCACCCAGCUGGGCACCCCCUGGCCUACCACAGGGACCCCUGAGAGGAGCGCUGGGCGUGUCGGCAGGAGACGGAUCAGCGUGAGGCAAACAGAGAAGCAAUCUGCUGCUGCUGCCCAAAUCGGCCACUUCGCCCACCCGCACGCCCUGCUUCCUUACAAGCCAGCAAGGAAAGGUUAAAAAAAAGAAGAAUGAGUGCUUUGGGUUCAGGAAAUCCCAGCUCUGGAACCAACAGGUUAAUAGAAGGGCCGUUUAUAAGCUCCAGCUGCUUCGGUCUGUGCUUCCCUGUACAUGUUCCACGUUGGGCUGGAAACCGUGUCAUCAGUGUUGGAACGGGUGAAAAGGAUAAUAUCUUGAGCUGUUUAAAUUCUUUUCCCCCUGCGUCCCAGUGGGCCUGUACUAAAAUUUCAACUCCUCAGCUCAGCAGGGAUGGGCGAGUGUAAAGUUACUUUCCAAAGAAGCCGGGAGAGCAUUUGUGUGUGCGAAGGUGUGGGGCAGAUGGAAUGGGCCAGCGCCGGUGGGAGAGCAAGUUUCCACUUAGGGUGGGGCCAGCACGCCCCAGGCUCCCUCCGAAUGAGUCCCAGCUGUGCAGCUUCUGGGCCCCGAGCCCCCCCCAUCGGGGAGAGCCCCACACCCCACACCCCACACCCGACUGCUCGGGAAACAGCCGCCGAGGACAGGUGGGGCCUGUGCAGAAAUCCGUGCACAGAGAAGCCUCAGGUGGGGUCCAGAGGGCGUUGUGGGGUCUCUCAAAAUUAGGGCAGCGACAGUGCCUUGUGGAGCCGAGCGGACAGCAGCUCACAAGACAGAAGAGUGGAGCAGCCGCUUGGAAGUGCUUGAGAACCUUCUAGGCCUUGGACUUGGAGCCGGUUGCUCGCAGCAGUGCUCAGUCACCGCAGCCAGAACUAGCCAGUUCUUCUGAGAGGAGGUGAAUCUGAGCUCCAGUCCCACGUAGGGUUUUAAGUGGCAUCUUUCUCUGGGCCUCAGCUUCCCCUUAAAAUUAAGGAGUUGGCAGGGAUGAUCUUCAAGGGCCCUUCCAGGCUGCUCUUUGUGAGACUCUCCGAACCGGCCGUGACCCAUUUGCCCAACAAGCAGCUCGCACAU
rnacentral:lncRNA from 1 species